CUCCGAUUUCUCAGACUCGAGGUUUUUGCCCAACUUUCCCCCACCCCCACCUCCCGACCCACCCCUAAUCUGCUCCUAUUCCCCUUUCUCUGGCUACCGGAUUUCCAGUUCUUCCAGCGCACUACUCUAGCCCAAGAAAGCAUCUGUGAACUCAACUCCAGAACAACUGGCUUCAUGUUUCUCUGAGGCUGAUGGUGUCCCAGAGAAACAGCCUGGACAUCACUGGACAUGCAGGCCCUAAGCAAAAACAUAUGUGCACGUCUCUGCCUUGGAAUCCAAUGGCCUUUAAGGAAAUGGAUCUAUCUCUGUGGAAGAGGAAAGGGGGAAGAACUGCAAGGGCCCCACGGUUUGCAGGGAAGGUGCCUGGCAUCAUUUAUUAUUCUGACCAGGUGGUUUUAUGUCCCUCUGCCAGAAAAAAAG
ensembl:lncRNA